UCUGCUAUUUCACAACGCGAUUUUAUAAUAACAUCUAUAAACGCACAACUUGGAGCUGUUUCAUUUUUUGUGCAUUUAUGUAUUCCAUAUGUGCCCAAAAUAUAACUCCUACAUGUGCAUGUAAAUGGAUGUCAUGUAUAUGCCAGAUUUGAAAAAAAAUAGGGCUCUCACAAGUUGGGGGGGGGGGGGGAGUGUUGCACUAAAAUUCUAUUUGGUAUAAAUGAUAGUACUUAUAGUAUCUUGAAAUUUCAUUGACCUAAGAGAUAUUUCAAAUCUGGGGUUUCAUGUUUCAUACAAGCAUGUAGGUCUACAAAACUUUAUUUAAAAUAUUUGUAAAAUCACAAGCCUCCCUCAUAGGCAAAUAAAUGUCUUGUAUGAAAAUAAGAUAUGUAUGUCCUUCUCUUGACCCACACUCCGUAAAGGAGACAGGUCUGAUAAAUCUAGAGUUGACUUGUUUUGAUAUUAUUAGAAUGAACUGGCAGUUUAUGAAAACAUAUCUGUCAUCUCAUAUUGUAAUAUGAUAAUUAUGAUGUUUAUUCACCUCAUUAAGGACCCGGGGGUGGGAGGGUAUGUACAGUUUAAAUAGAAGGUAACUAUAACAAUAUGAAAUAAAUAACAAUCAUGCAGAUGUACUACUACUGCAAGAGUUCACAUUGCUGCACUGCACACAUUUAACAUACAUGUAGUGUUACAUAUGUAAUACUGAUUUCAGACAAGAUUUUAAAAAUUAACGAAUAAAAUACAUGUUAUGUGUGUAAUUUUCAAUAUAUCAGCAUUUUAAAGUUCACUGAACAUGCAUUGAGACACACAAUUUUAAAAUUGACAUUGUCUGACACAGUAUAAUUAAUGAUUAAUACUGACUGUGCAAAUAUUAAUUAUGAUGAUUUUUUUCUAAGCAUCAUCCUAAGGACCAGUGCAAGUUGAAAUGGGCUUCCAGCCAACAACUUCAACAGCAAUUUGUCAUGAAAAUCACCAAGAAAGGUACUUCAUUUACAUUGAUGAUGUCAUAUCCCCUGGACCCCACAACUUUACAGGUUACAGAGAAAAUUCAAGAACUUCUGCAAAAUGUGGGACUUGGAUAGAAUCAAUAAUGUAUUUGUGAGCCCAGAGCAAUGGAUAUAUUGUGCAACAUACUAUUCUAAAGUGUGAAUUUAAUGGAAAACAAGUACAUGUACUCAUGUAUUACAUGUCUUUUUUAAGACAAUAAUAUUGAAUAAAUAUAGAGGAAGUGUCA